GACCCCUUCUGUGCCGGAGUUAACACAAUAAGUAUUCCACCUGGGGAGUACGAUCGCAAGAUUGAAACUCAAAGGAAUUGACGGGGGCCCGCACAAGCAGUGGAGUAUGUGGUUUAAUUCGAAGCAACGCGAAGAACCUUACCAGGGCUUGACAUCCCUUGACAACCCUAGAGAUAGGGCAUCCCUUCGGGGCAAGGAGACAGGUGGUGCAUGGUUGUCGUCAGCUCGUGUCGUGAGAUGUUGGGUUAAGUCCCGCAACGAGCGCAACCCCUAUUGUUAGUUGCCAGCAUUAAGUUGGGCACUCUAGCGAGACUGCCGGUGAUAAAUCGGAGGAAGGUGGGGACGACGUCAAAUCAUCAUGCCCCUUACGUCCUGGGCUACACACGUACUACAAUGGCGACUACAGAAGGCAGCGAAACCGCGAGGUGAAGCAAAUCCUAAAAAGGUCGUCCCAGUUCGGAUUGCAGGCUGAAACUCGCCUGUAUGAAGUUGGAAUUGCUAGUAAUGGCAGGUCAGCAUACUGCCGUGAAUACGUUCCCGGGCCUUGUACACACCGCCCGUCACACCAUGAGAGUUGACAACACCCGAAGCCAGUAGUCUAACUUUUAGAGGACGCUGUCGAAGGUGGGGUUGAUGAUUAGGGUGAAGUCGUAACAAGGUAGCCG
rnacentral:rRNA from 1 species